rnacentral:rRNA from 1 species
GAUGAACGCUGGCGGCGUGCCUAAUACAUGCAAGUCGAGCGAACGGACGAGAAGCUUGCUUCUCUGUUGUUAGCGGCGGACGGGUGAGUAACACGUGGAUAACCUACCUAUAAGACUGGGAUAACUUCGGGAAACCGGAGCUAAUACCGGAUAUUAUCUUGAACCGCAUGGUUCAAAAGUGAAAGACGGUCUUUCUGUCACUUAUAGAUGUAUCCGCGCUGCAUUAGCUAGUUGGUAAGGUAACGGCUUACAAAGGCAACGAUGCAUAGCCGACCUGAGAGGGUGAACGACCACACUGGAGCUGAGGCACGGUCCAGACUCCAACGGGAGGCAGCAGUAGGGAAUCUUCCGCGAAGGGCGAAAGCCUAACGGAGCAACGCCGCAUGAGUGAUGAAGGUCUUCGGAUCGUAGAACUCUGUUAUUAGGGAAGAACAUAUGUGUAAGUAACUGUGCACAUCUUGACGGUACCUAAUCAGAAAGCCACGGCUAACUACGUG